CCCUCAAGCCAAAAAGAGCGAAGCAGCCUUUGAAAAUUGAAACACCAUAACCCUCCUCCGCGGCCUUUCUCCUCAACCUCUGUCUCCUAAAUGUACAGGCAUUCUUUAGCUGGGUGCUGUUUUCUAGUUAAAAAUGUGUCAAAACUCUCAUCAUUAUAUAAAGCCGCGACCAAUUCCUCGACCUUUAUGCUAUCUCAUGUCAUGCAAAUGCACCCAAGAAGCUACAAGGUAGCUGCAGGGGAGUGUGUAUGGUCUCCAUGCAAUACUUUGUUGUGGCAUGGGUCCAACAUGGUUGGGUGUGGUGAUGCUCUUUCAAAAUGGGCACGAGCUAGGUACAUGAGCAAUACAUCCAUUGAACUGAAGCCGGACAGUGAUGUUGUCAGAUUUAAUAUUGGUGAGCCGCCUGGUAAAACUGGGACCUCAAAGAAAGGAAAGAAGAAAAUGAGACGAGUUAAAAUGUCUAGGAAGGCCAAAUUGAAUGAACUCAGGUUCUACAGACUAAAGGCAAAAAAGAAGAUAACAUCUCCAAAUCCAGAAGUUAGGAUUCGGUACAAACUUGAAAAGGCUAAAAGAAAGGAAGAAUGGUUGAUUGAGAAGCUGAGGAAAUUUGAUAUUCCUAAAGCCCCCGCUGAAGCAUAUGAUCCUGAAAUUCUGACCGAGGAAGAGAAAUUUUACCUAAAGCGUACUGGUGAGAAAAAGAAGAAUUAUGUUCCAGUUGGGAGGCGAGGCGUUUUUGGGGGUGUUGUUCUCAAUAUGCAUCUCCAUUGGAAGAAGCAUGAGACUGUAAAGGUUAUCUGCAAACCUUGCAAGGUUGGGCAGGUUUAUGAAUAUGCUGAAGAGCUUGCCCGGCUGAGCAAAGGCAUCGUGAUCGAUAUAAAGCCUAACAACACCAUAAUAUUCUACCGAGGAAAGAACUAUGUACAGCCACAAGUUAUGUCACCCCCUGAUACCCUUUCCAAAAGCAAGGCUUUGGAAAAGUAUAGGUAUGAGCAGUCCCUGGAGCAUACAAGUCAGUUUAUUGAGAAAUUGGAGAAAGAGCUAGAAGAGUAUCAUAAACACCUUGCUCAGUACAGGAAACAGAAGGAAAAUCAACCCUGACAUUCUUUGGUUAACGCUAGGUGGAGCAGGGCUUUGAGGGUCCAAAAUAGACUUGGUGGUGGAGUUGGUCUUUCACCACUGAACACCUUGUGAUUGGUUUGAGAAUCUUGGUUUGGUGGCUAGAGCUGAAGGCUCAUCAAGUUUUAAGAUCUCUCAUCAUUGUUGGAUGCAACUCUUCAUCAGAGGCAAUGUAUGUUUGUAUUCCCAUAAGCUGGAUUUUCCUAAGGUCACCAGAUUAUUCAUUUUCCAUCACCUUUGAUCAUUGAAGGGGGAAUCAAAGCUGAUCAAUAAUGUAUAUUUACUCUUUGUUUUGUGUUGCUGUAUGGCAAGAAGGCUUGAAUUAAACGUCAACCAUCUUGAUUCAAAAUUUGUUUUUACUUCAGAUUUUGUCAGCCAUUCAAAUUUUGAAGAAAAAGGACAUUGUAUUGAUGGGGAGGCAGCCUACUGAAUCAUGGGAUAAACUUUUUGAUAUUGAGGUCAACUGAUAUGUGGGAACGCUGGAGAAGAAUUUGGGAGAAAACUUUCUUAAUUUGAGAUCAAGUGAUCUGUUGCUUUGGGUUACACAAGGGCAUUAUAACAUUGUGAUGCCUUCAAUGGUUCAUAAAUUUUUGAGAACCUAUGGGUGGGUUUACCACUUGAAGGCAACCCCAUACUACUAGAAAUAUAGUUGGCUUACUAACUUCAGGCUUGGGAUGGGAAUGCCAUUCCAGCAUUCCUCAUCAUAAAAUUGUAAUUACCAUUACAUGAGAAAAGACCAUGAGGAGCUAUCGUUGAAUAGGUUGAAAAAUUCUUUUGUUUGUAAUCUUUGGGUGUGGUCUAAACCUGUUGUAAAUGAAGGUCCUCUCUCUUUACUCGGUUUUUUUUAUUGGCUAGGUGCUAGGUGAGGGUUGGUAUUGUAUUUCUGCUUCUUUUUGUGCCAUAGGGCGCCUCUUGUAUACUCCCUGUAUGCUUUUGGGCCUGUUUUUGGGGCUCCUUGCUAAUAUAUGCUUCUUUGUGUGUUUGCCAAUCAAAAAAAAAA